UGGCGCGCGGAGCACAAAGCUGCGCGAACUUUGGGCAUCAUCGUCGGCGCCUUCCUUCUUUGCUGGCUGCCGUUUUUUCUUUGGUACGUGACAACCAACGUCUGCGGCGAGCCCUGCGAGACCCCCGACGUGGUAGUCGGCGUCUUAUUCUGGAUCGGCUACUUCAACUCCGCCCUCAACCCGCUGAUUUACGCGUACUUCAAUAGGGACUUCCGCGACGCCUUCAAAAACACUCUCAUGUGCGCGCUCCCGUGCUGUUUUAGUUGCUGGAAGGAUACUAGUAACGCGCAUUUCGUGUGAUAAUAUCUUUACUUUUAGUUGAAAUUUAAGUAUCAGUUUAUUAUUUAUUAGUUAUUACGCUACUUCAACUCCGCCCUCAAUGCGCCAAUCUACGCGUACUUCAAUAGGAACUUCCGCGACGCCUUCAAAAACACUCUCAUUUGCGCGUUACCGUGCUGUUUUAGUUGCUGGAAGGAUACUAGUAACGCGCAU